rnacentral:rRNA from 1 species
AAUGGGCGCAAGCCUGAUCCAGCCAUGCCGCGUGAGUGACGAAGGCCUUAGGGUUGUAAAGCUCUUUUGUCGGGGACGAUAAUGACGGUACCCGAAGAAUAAGCUCCGGCUAACUUCGUGCCAGCAGCCGCGGUAAUACGAAGGGAGCUAGCGUUGUUCGGAAUCACUGGGCGUAAAGCGCACGUAGGCGGAUCGCUAAGUCAGGGGUGAAAUCCCGGGGCUCAACCUCGGAACUGCCUUUGAUACUGGCGAUCUCGAGUCCGGAAGAGGUGAGUGGAAUUCCUAGUGGAGAGGUGAAAUUCGUAGAUAUUAGGAAGAACACCAGUGGCGAAGGCGGCUCACUGGUCCGGUACUGACGCUGAGGUGCGAAAGCGUGGGGAGCAAA